AUGCAAAAGUAUAGAUACGUUAUCAUUUGGUUAUGGUUAGGGUUCAAAGCUGAGACUCUCAGACUUCACGCUCAAACAAUUUCCUCUUCUCACUCAUCACGAAAUAAAACCACUGCCACUCCUCUGACGAACAAAUUCUGUUGUCGACUACUCCUGUGGCCACACGCUUCAUCGUUCGUUUUCACUUCAUCUCGAUUCAGCCUCCAUUCUGAUCUACUGCCUUACUUUGUAGUAUUCGUUUUUGUCUCGACCUCUUCUUCCGAUCUUAGCUUGCGCCUCAACCUUCUAUCAUCUCCUCUUUAG